GCCCAUGUGGCUCAGUGGUUGAGCAUUGACCUAUGAACCAGGAGGUCAUGGGUUUGAUUCCCAGUCAAGGGCA
rnacentral:tRNA from 1 species